rnacentral:rRNA from 2 species
AGGUUAAGUUAACAAGGGCGCAUGGUGAAUGCCUUGGCACUAGGAGCCGAUGAAGGACGGGACUAACACCGAUAUGCUUCGGGGAGCUGUACGUAAGCUAUGAUCCGGAGAUUUCCGAAUGGGGCAACCCAGCAGUUUUAAUCAACUGUUACCACUAGAUGAAUUCAUAGUCUAGUUGGAGGUAAACGCUGUGAACUGAAACAUCUCAUUAGCAGCAGGAAUAUAAAGAAAUUUCGAUUCCCUAAGUAGCGGCGAGCGAACGGGGAACAGCCCAAACCAAAGUGCUUGCACUUUGGGGUUGUAGGACUGAACAUUUGAGUUACCAAAGAAUUUGAUAGUCGAAGGAUUUGGGAAAAUCCGCCAUAGAUGGUGAUAGCCCAGUAGAUUAAAUCAAGUUCUCUCAGUUCAGGAUCCUGAGUACGGCGGAACACGUGAAAUUCCGUCGGAAUCCGGGAGGACCAUCUCCCAAGGCUAAAUACUACCUAGUGACCGAUAGUGAACCAGUACCGUGAGGGAAAGGUGAAAAGCACCCCGGAAGGGGAGUGAAAUAGUUCCUGAAACCAUGUGCCUACAAUAAGUCAGAGCGCGUUAAUGCGUGAUGGCGUGCCUUUUGUAGAAUGAACCGGCGAGUUAUGAUCCCGUGCAAGGUUAAGACUAAAAAGUCGGAGCCGUAGCGAAAGCGAGUCUGAAAUGGGCGUUUUGAGUACGAGGUUGUAGACCCGAAACCAGGUGACCUAUCCAUGUCCAGGUUGAAGGUGCGGUAAAACGCACUGGAGGACCGAACCCGUGUAAGUUGAAAAUUGCUGGGAUGAGGUGUGGAUAGCGGUGAAAUUCCAAACGAACUUGGAGAUAGCUGGUUCUCUCCGAAAUAGCUUUAGGGCUAGCCUCGGAAUUAGGAUCAUGGAGGUAGAGCACUAUUUGGACUAGGGGCCCGUCUUGGGUUACUGAAUUCAGAUAAACUCCGAAUGCCAUUGAUUCAUAUCCGGGAGUCAGACGAUGAGUGAUAAGAUCCACCGUCGAAAGGGGAACAGCCCAGACCAUCAGUUAAGGUCCCUAAAUGUAUGCUAAGUGGAAAAGGAUGUGGAGUUGCAUAGACAACUAGGAUGUUGGCUCAGAAGCAGCCACCAUUUAAAGAGUGCGUAAUAGCUCACUAGUCGAGUGAUCCUGCGCCGAAAAUGUACCGGGGCUAAGCAUACUACCGAAACCAUGGAUGCGACCAUUAGGUCGCGUGAUAGGAGAGCGUUCUAAGGGCGGUGAAGCAAGAUCGUGAGGACUUGUGGAGCGCUUAGAAGUGAGAAUGCCGGUAUGAGUAGCGAAAGAUAGGUGAGAAUCCUAUCCACCGAAUGACUAAGGUUUCCUGGGGAAGGCUCGUCCUCCCAGGGUUAGUCGGGACCUAAGUCGAGGCCGAGAGGCGUAGACGAUGGAUAACAGGUUGAGAUUCCUGUACUAGUUAAGUGCGUUUGAGCAAUGGAGGGACGCAGGAGGCUAAGAUGUGCAUUCUGUUGGAUUAGAAUGUCCAAGCAGUAAGUCUUGUGAAGAGUCAAAUGCUUUUCACUUUAAGGACAAGCUGUGAUGGGGAGCGAAAUUUAGUAGCGAAGCGUCUGAUGUCACACUGCCGAGAAAAGCUUCUAGUGAGUACUUAACUACCCGUACCGCAAACCGACACAGGUAGUCGAGGAGAGAAUCCUAAGGUGAGCGAGUGAACUCUCGUUAAGGAACUCGGCAAAAUGACCCCGUAACUUCGGGAGAAGGGGUGCUGAUCGCAAGAUCAGCCGCAGUGAAUAGGCCCAGGCGACUGUUUAUCAAAAACACAGGUCUCUGCAAAAUCGUAAGAUGACGUAUAGGGGCUGACGCCUGCCCGGUGCUGGAAGGUUAAAAGGAUGGGUUAGCUUCGGCGAAGCUCAGAAUUGAAGCCCCAGUAAACGGCGGCCGUAACUAUAACGGUCCUAAGGUAGCGAAAUUCCUUGUCGGGUAAGUUCCGACCCGCACGAAAGGCGUAACGAUCUGGGCACUGUCUCAACGAGAGACUCGGUGAAAUUAUAUUGUCCGUGAAGAUGCGGACUACCCGCGACAGGACGGAAAGACCCCAUGGAGCUUUACUGUAGCUUGAUAUUGAGUGUUUGUACAGCUUGUACAGGAUAGGUAGGAGCCAUAGAAACCGGAACGCUAGUUUCGGUGGAGGCGUUGGUGGGAUACUACCCUCGCUGUAUGACCACUCUAACCCGCACCACUAAUCGUGGUGGGAGACAGUGUCAGGUGGGCAGUUUGACUGGGGCGGUCGCCUCCUAAAAAGUAACGGAGGCGCCCAAAGGUUCCCUCAGAAUGGUUGGAAAUCAUUCGCAGAGUGUAAAGGCACAAGGGAGCUUGACUGCGAGACAGACAGGUCGAGCAGGGACGAAAGUCGGGCUUAGUGAUCCCGGUGGUACCGUAUGGAAGGGCCAUCGCUCAACGGAUAAAAGCUACCCUGGGGAUAACAGGCUUAUCUCCCCCAAGAGUCCACAUCGACGGGGAGGUUUGGCACCUCGAUGUCGGCUCAUCGCAUCCUGGGGCUGUAGUCGGUCCCAAGGGUUGGGCUGUUCGCCCAUUAAAGCGGUACGCGAGCUGGGUUCAGAACGUCGUGAGACAGUUCGGUCCCUAUCCGUCGCGGGCGUAGGAAAUUUGAGAGGACCUGUCCUUAGUACGAGAGGACCGGGAUGGACAUACCUCUGGUGUACCAGUUGUGCCGCCAGGCGCAUCGCUGGGUAGCUACGUAUGGAUGUGAUAAACGCUGAAAGCAUCUAAGUGUGAAACACACCUCGAGAUGAGAUUUCCCAUUCCUUUAUGGAAGUAAGACCCCUGAAAGAUGAUCAGGUAGAUAGGUUAGAAGUGGCAGUGCGGUGACGCAUGAAGCGGACUAAUACUAAUCGGUCGAGGACUUAACCAAG